AUCCAGCUGACGAGUCCCAAAUAGGAAAAAAGGCGCUUCUUGGAU
rfam:Schistosoma mansoni strain Puerto Rico chromosome 1, complete genome